rnacentral:rRNA from 1 species
UAAUGCAAGUCGAGCGAACAGAUAAGGAGCUUGCUCCUUUGACGUUAGCGGCGGACGGGAGAGUAACACGUGGGUAACCUACCUAUAAGACUGGGAUAACUUCGGGAAACCGGAGCUAAUACCGGAUAAUAUUUCGAACCGCAUGGUUCGAUAGUGAAAGAUGGUUUUGCUAUCACUUAUAGAUGGACCCGCGCCGUAUUAGCUAGUUGGUAAGGUAACGGCUUACCAAGGCGACGAUACGUAGCCGACCUGAGAGGGUGAUCGGCCACACUGGAACUGAGACACGGUCCAGACUCCUACGGGAGGCAGCAGUAGGGAAUCUUCCGCAAUGGGCGAAAGCCUGACGGAGCAACGCCGCGUGAGUGAUGAAGGUCUUCGGAUCGUAAAACUCUGUUAUUAGGGAAGAACAUACGUGUAAGUAACUGUGCACGUCUUGACGGUACCUAAUCAGAAAGCCACGGCUAACUACGUGCCAGCAGCCGCGGUAAUACGUAGGUGGCAAGCGUUAUCCGGAAUUAUUGGGCGUAAAGCGCGCGUAGGCGGUUUUUUAAGUCUGAUGUGAAAGCCCACGGCUCAACCGUGGAGGGUCAUUGGAAACUGGAAAACUUGAGUGCAGAAGAGGAAAGUGGAAUUCCAUGUGUAGCGGUGAAAUGCGCAGAGAUAUGGAGGAACACCAGUGGCGAAGGCGACUUUCUGGUCUGUAACUGACGCUGAUGUGCGAAAGCGUGGGGAUCAAACAGGAUUAGAUACCCUGGUAGUCCACGCCGUAAACGAUGAGUGCUAAGUGUUAGGGGGUUUCCGCCCCUUAGUGCUGCAGCUAACGCAUUAAGCACUCCGCCUGGGGAGUACGACCGCAAGGUUGAAACUC